rnacentral:rRNA from 1 species
CGACUUCRCCCCAGUCGCUGACCCUACCGUGGUCGCCUGCCCCCUUGSGGUUAGCGCAGCGCCUUCGGGUAAAGCCAACUCCCAUGGUGUGACGGGCGGUGUGUACAAGGCCCGGGAACGUAUUCACCGCGGCAUGCUGAUCCGSGAUUACUAGCGAUUCCAACUUCAUGCUCUCGAGUUGSAGAGAACAAUCCGAACUGAGACGACUUUURGGGAUUGGCUCCCCCUCGSGGGAUUGCAGCCCUCUGUAGKCGCCRUUGUAGCACGKGUGUAGCCCACCKUGUAAGGGCCAUGAGGACYUGACGKCAUCCCCGCCUUCCUCCGGAUUAACUCCGGCAGUACGAUUAGAGUGCCCAGCCAAACCUGAUGGCAACUAAUC